rnacentral:lncRNA from 1 species
CGGUGUCUCCUGUUUCUCUUUCUUCUUUCUUAAUUAAUUGCUCUCCUGAUGUUUCUCUUAAUUGUUUUUCGGUGUAAAUCUUCUGUAUCUCUCCCUUCUGAAUUUUAGAUUUCUGGGUAGAAUCAUGCUCAGGUUGCCUCUCAGAACGAACUGUGGCAUUGUGUGCAUUGACAAGGUCCUGGAACUCUUGACUAGAGUGCAUCAGUUGCUCAAAGGUAGCAGCUUGCAGGAUCUCCCCUUCGGACAUUAACUGCCAACAGAAUUAGUCAUUUGGACUGCUUGAUUUAAAAGCAUGUGUUACUCAAGGAUUGCCUUCCAGAUGAUGGAAAUUAUUUGUUAAGAAAGGAAAAUGAAGUCAAAUGAGAGUUAAAGAACGAUAUCCAAGAAAGUAACUGUACUAACCAGAACCGAAUCAAAUGCAGGAAGGAAGUCCACCUGGUGGGUCACAAGUAUGACCGUCUUCGUUGAUAGAGCUCCCAUGACAUAUUCCUGGCCACAACUGGCAUUAGCAUUCACUCUGAAAGCAAUAACAUUAGUAGCAUAAUUUCUGAGAAAGGAGAACCAUACAUACAUUAAAUAGACUGGUUGCAGUAUGUGCAUCGACCGCACUAAAUGGAUCAUCCAGGAGAUAUACAUCUGCAUCCUGAUAUAAUGCGCGUGCGAGUUGAACCCGUUGCUUUUGUCCACCACUCAGAUUAACACCUCUUUCUCCUAUUUCAGUGAGAUCACCAAAUGGAAGCAUCUCAAGGUCCUUCACUAGGGCACACUUCUCAAUAGCCUCUCUGUAUCUGUAAGGAUCCAUAGCUGACCCAAACAGAAUAUUUUCUUGUAUGGUCCCUGUUGGAAUCCAAGCUGUCUGAGAGACGUAAGCAAUCUUUCCAUAAACUCGAACCUGGAAAAGAUGGAUCCAGAAUUUGUAUUAAGACUUUAGUUGAGGUAAGUCUCCUAGAACCUUUUAGGGCUCAUGAAGUUGUCUACCUUCCCCAUUUUCCUCCAUGAUGUUAAUAUCUACCAAAUGAAGUGUGUAUAAAUCAGGAAUGAUGCAUUACUUCUUUCAGAUUUUAAGUUUGUUUUCUUUCGUAUUCCUACUUAGGAAACCAUGAAAGAAUGUAAAAAUUCAUGCCAGUUUGUUGUUAUUCAUUCCAGAACAACUGUGCACAAAGUAGCUGUUUAGUAUUUAUUCUAGUCCAUGGAUGAGGAAGAAAUGGAAUUGAAAGGGGUACUUACUAUGCCAUUAAUGUGUGGAACUUCUCCAAGAAUAGCAGCUAAUAGUGUUGAUUUACCUGAGCCAACCUCUCCACAAAUAGCUACCCUUUCCCCAGGCUUAACCACCAAAUUUAUGUUCCUUAGUGUAGCCCUUGUAGAGUUAUCCUCCCAUGAAAUUCUGUUGCUCUUGAUAAAAAUGGAUUCCUCCAGCUCCUUUCCAUCACACAUCUUCCUUACAUGUUUGUUCUGCAGCUCUGGUGCGUCAAGAAACUUUGCAAUCCGAUCUAACGAAACCUUGGCCUCAAUGAAUGCUGUAAUGACAUCAGGGAUUAACCUAAUUGGCUCCUGGGCAAUGCGUAAACUUGCCAUAAAUGUGAAAACAUUGCUAGCAGAGAGAGUAGUUCCAAUAAAGUAGCAUGCCGUGAAAGUAAUGGCUGAUACUACAAUGGGAGAUGACCAAAACAGAAUCAGACUGUACCCUUUCUGUGACAGAACUGACACUAACCACUUGAACUCCUCUUUCCUUAACCUUUCUAUGACAUUCUUGAAAUGAGUCUCCCAAGCGUACAGCUUCAGGCUUUUCAUGUUUGUAAGUGCCUCUGUGAAAGCCUUCAGCCUCUUGUCCUGAGUUCCCAUGAGCAUUUUCUGGUACUUGUGUUGUAACCUUCCCAUGGGAGAGUUUGCAACUACAGUCAAUAUUACUACAAACAGAGCUGCUAUAGUUGCAAGCCCCAACGAAUAGUAAAUAAUAAUCAAUGCCAGACACAACUGGAGGCUUGUUGACCAGAUCUGGUGAAACCAGUACGGGAAUUCACCUAUAUUGUAAGCAUCAAUAAUAACAAAGCUCACGAUCUGAGCAGGGGAAUACAACCCCUUUGCAGUGUUUGAGAGCUUAAGCUGCUUCUGAUAGAUGGCUGCAGAUAGAAACGAUCUCACUUGGAGCCCAAUCAAUCUAGUUCGAAAGAACCACUGCCUCUCUGAUAACGAUUCUAAGCAUUUAGUAAGGAAGAGCCCUCCCGUCAGUGCAUAACCUUCAUACUUAAAAGCUUCUUUGCCUUCAGCAACCAGGAUGAAGGCUCUAAGAAACAGAGGGCCAGUAGAAAGUGUUAGCACCUUCAUCAAUGCAAAGAAGCCAGAAAUCAAAAUCUGUUUCCACUGCCACAAUAAUAUAGUCGACAAAAUGGAAGGAGAGUCAGAUGACUGCUGUUUCUGCUUGUUCUGCUGUUCCAUGAACAUUAAGUAACACAUUUCCGCUCGAUCUUCCCUUCUUAGCUGUGGAAUGUCUUUGUCCUCGAGAGUUUUCUGCUUACCUUUCUUCAUCAACGAAUUCAACCACCAAAAUGACAUUCUACUAAUAAGCCCAGCUUUCUCAAAAGGGGGUAAGCUGGCAUCUGUAUUGAUUUUAUCACCAGCACUGCUUCCUUCACCUGGCAAAGGUCUAUAGAAGGCAGCACCAUCAAAUCCUGAAUCAGUUCCUGCAUAUUUUGGUCCCGUAAAAGUGCAGAACAUCAAUAGAAUCGCUCCAGGAAAAGAUAUAACAUCUAAAAUCACCUUAACUGAUACUGCAUCGCCCACAAUAGCUUCCCAGAAAGAUGUAACACAGGGAAAACCUGCGAUAAAGAAUGCAAGUACUGAACAGAGCCUCAGCCCUGCAUUAUGUAGAAGUUGAUGCCUCUUAAACCUCACAGCUAAACCCAGAAAAAACCAGGUGAAGCCUUGUAAUAAGACCACUAGCCAGCCAUGCAGAGGUAGAAUGGUGUUCUCUUCACUCAGCUUCUCUCCCACAAUCCAGAACCCCAAACCGAGAUAAACCAACCCUAAACUACCAUUAAGAAAGGCAGCAGAAUUUAGCAUUGUGGAAAAGCAUCUAGACUGUUGAGGGGAUAAGAUCUUCAUAGCUGAUGCUUUAUAUAUGAAGAUAAAUAAUAAGUAGAGCAAGACGAUGAUGUCAACAGAAAUGACCAAAAUAUGAUUGAGACAUGAACAUGGACAGACGAUGGCUAGGAACCCAGAACUGCAUAUCUUUCCAAUUUUACUCCAACACCAGGAACUUCCACAGAAAACAGUCCAGAGACUCUCACCCAUGUUGUAUCUUCUUGCCUUCACAAAACUGUAGCUGUAAUAAAGUAAAGAAAACAAAGGGGUUAUUUAUUAGAUUUUUGGUGUUUUAGACUUGGGAAGUAGUACUAAACAUGAGAACCAUCAAUGCAUGCCUAAUAGUUUCAAUUUUCAGUUGAAAUUAAAAGUAAAAUUUAUCAUACAGGACUGAUCUAAACUUAAUUUCACAACCCCAGGUGCCUAAGAUCAGGAGAAAGAAUCCAAGAACAACUGAACUGAGAUUGAAGAGAACUGACUAAAGACAUAGAACACAAGAAAUUGCAGAAAAAAAGUAGGGAGAAUGGGAUCCAAUGGAGAUGAAUCAAACAUGAAAUCAGAAGAAGAUGUGAACAAGUUCAGGAAACUUAUGCAAAACUCCCCAUUUUUCCGUUUGAUUGUUGAGAAAAAUGCUGGAAAGUAAAUGAAAACCUUAAAUCUCAUAACAAGUAGGGGAUGGAGUGGUAGUUUUAAGAUUGCAAAACUUCUUUUCUUUUACCAUGAGUCUCAGUAACCAAACACACAAACAACCCCACUAGAUCUGUUCUCUCAAGCUGAAAGGAUGAACCCAAAAAAUACGAGAACAACAAGAUCAAACACUUACCUUAGGAUACGUUGGACAAUGAUGUCAAACCAAACCAGAUUUUUUUAUUUAAGCUAAAAUUUCAGUCCAAAUUCCAAAUACUGAACAAAGACUUGAGCAUUUAAGGUAGAAAAACAGAACCCAGAAGAGGAAAAUAAUAGAAAAUUAAUAUUCACAAUGCACCGAGUCAGCCCACAAGAAAAUGAAGCGUCAUAUGAAGGACCCAGGAAUUCAAAGCAAUUAAUGAAGAAACAGACAGAAAGAUGGAGCUACUUCAGAGAGUGAAAAGUGAAAACCAUCUUGAACCAAUUAUAGAAAGCACAGAACAUGGUGGUGGACAAAAUAUUAUGCUGAAGAAGUGCUACAAAAUCCAUAUAGGUAAAAAACCUGCAUAGGCCAUCCAGAAUCUCACCAUCCCUCAUCAAAUCUGUCUGUUUUUUCUCCUUUUUUUUCCCUUCUUUUUUAGUGAGCAUAGGUCAUUCAGAAUAUCACUCUGCCUCAUCAAAUCAUGGGUGUUCAUCUCGCCCUCUUCUACACCUCACUGCUCUCUUUCCUUGCAUUAUAUUAAUGUGUUGUUCCACUCAAACGACAAAUCGAGUUGUUCUCAUGCUUCACGAUGUCGUUGUUGAGGGAGAAUAUUAUCAAGUCUCUGUGUAUAUAUUGUUUCUGUCCACUUCUAUGGAAUUGAUUCUCUAGCUAUAUGGUUAGGUUCGACUGAUGGAAUCAUUUCAUUAAUCUCAAAGUCACCCUCAUUCUCUGCUCCAAUGAUUUUAUUUUUAUAUUUUAUAUUAAAAAAUGACAUUCAGACUGACGUGAUCAACAACACCAUCAGAAUUCUCUUAACCCAACCCUGGGCCUACUACCUUAUAAUUUAAGUUUUUAAAACGAUUUUCGAAAAAAUCAUUUUCAAAAAUAAUUUUAUGAUAGUUUUUAAAAUAAAAUUAAGAAUUUGAAUUAUUUUUUAAUCUAUCUUAUAUAUUUUCAAAUAUUUUUUAAAAAUAAUUUUUAUUUAUAAUAUUUUAUUUUUAUUAAUUCUCUGUAUUUAUAUAAAUAUUUCUUAAAACAAUUCAAAAAAAUAAGUAAAAAUAGUUAAAAUAUGUUAUCACAAAAUAUCAAAACAAGUUCUUAAAAAUAUAUUUUUUGUCAAAAAAAUCACUAAUGUUUUUGUGGACCCCGCAUUUUCGGCUCAUGCGUUUCCCACUCGAUGGCGAGCUCGAUUUUUAUUUGAAAAAUGAUUUUUAUUGAUUAAGAAAAUGACUUGGAGUCGCCACUUAUUUUUGUUUUAUUUUUAAAAGGGUAAACAAAAUAAGAAAGAAAAACCCUAAGUGUGACUCUUUAUUUUGGAAAAGACGGUCUACGAAAAAUCGGGUCGAGUUCAGGGGUCAGGUUACUUAUCGGGAAGGUACGGUAAGGACCGUAGCACCCUUCUAAGUCCCUAAAGUCGGGUCUCUACUAAUAAAAUGAAGCAAUCAUGACAAUUGAUGAGGGAAUCAAUGAAUACUUAGAGUGAUCAUGCAUAUGUGAGAAUCUAAACAUGCGUAUAGAAAAUGACCCAAGCGGGUGUGGAUGCGUACCUGGGCAGUGAUCCAUAAAGCGCUAUCAAGAAGUGAAGUUAGCGCACAAUUAAAGAAUAAUUUCGAGCAUGUCAUAGAGCAUAAUAAAAUCGAUCAUGCAUGGCAAUUAAAUCAAACAAACAAUCAAUCAAUCAUGAGGAAAUCACAUGUGUUGGGCCCCCACCAAAACCCGAUUUAUAUUACAUGAAUUAAUCCCAUAAAUUCCAUUAUUCGGAAUUACGAAAAAUUCGUUUCUGCUUAUUAAAGUCAAGAGGAGCAGAAGAUUGUUUGAAAGCCAGAGCGGAAUUAAAACUAUUUGGGAGAAAAUUAGAUUUUUGAAAUUUAUUAGAAAAUUGGAAUCUUGAAGAUCACUAGAAAAUUGGAAUUUAGAAAUUAACUUUAGGAAUUGGAAUUUAGGAAUUAAAUUUUAAAGAAAUUGGAAUGUUGAAAAUUAUUUGAGAGUUUGGAACUAUUAAAUUAUAAAAAUUGGAAACUUGGAAUUCAUUUGAAGGUGAAAUUUUUGAAAAUAAAUAAAUAAAAUGAUGACAAUAAAUAAAUAAAUAAAUAAACAAAUGUGAAAAUUGAAAAUUUAGAAAUUAGAAAUUAAAUUUGAAAAUUGGAAAUCGAAAUUUUGAAGAAUUAUUUAAAAAUGGAAUUUUAAAAAUAAAAUAAUAAUAAUAAUAACAAUAACGAAGAUAGUAAUUAUUAAAUAAAUAAAUAUAAAAAUUGAAAUUUUAGAAAUUGGAAAUUAAAUUUAAAAAAUUAAAAAAAUGAAAUUUCGGAUAUUAGAGUUUUGAAUAUUAAAUUGAGAAAAUGAAGUUUGAAAAAUUAAUUUUAAAAGAAUUCAGAAUUUUAAAAAUUAAAUUUAAAAAUUAAAUUAAGACAUCAACAUAUGAAAGAAUUAAAAAAAAAAAGAAAAAAUUUGAGAUUGGUAGUGGGUUGGUCUUGUCGGUGGUGAUGAUGGAAAUUACAACAUGGAAUGAUGGUUGGCUUUUAUGGAUAAAAAAAAAAAAAAAAAAAACAUUUGACUAAUGAUGAGAACUGGAAAUUGAGACUUUUAAUGGCACUCUCAUAAUAUGCUACUCCCAAAAUCAAAGGCAAACUAAAGUUAGCAUUGAUGGCGUUUUAUGAGAGAGAUAAGUUUCAUGUUCCUGCUGCGCAGACUUGCUGGCAUCCUCUCGUCUCUGCACAGCUCCGCCAAGUACUCCAGCCGAGAUCUUCUUGUCCCUUCACAAAAAUACAUCAGCGUGUUUUCCUUCGCCGAGAACUGUAUGGACCAGCUUCUCCCGUCCAAAGAGGCGGAAAUCCUUGGCUUUGACGGACGACGGCGACGCUGUUUUAUCAGGAUUGGAAACGGAGUCGGACGAUGACGAAUCAUGGCCUUGCAACUCGUUGGUGAUCUUUUCCAGCGAGGAUUCAGAUGCGGCUCUCGAACCUUUGGCGUGUUCAGCCAUUUUUAUCGGACUGGGAUCCGAAACACAGUCCUAUCGUGUCGGCGAAAUGAGAGGGGAAGAUGAUACUUCAGGGACAGAAACAAGAUUCCGAUGAAUGAAAAUGGAGCUGAGAGAGUGGCGACGAUGGAAAGAGAAAUGGGUUCAUAUUAGUGGAAAAAAACAUAUACAGAGUCAAAACCAAACUGCAACCCAUGUCUCUGGUGUCUCAUGAUGGAUAAGACGAAGGCCUUCAUCAGUUUCUCAAGCUGGAUCCAUGGAACAGAGAAAGAACCAACAGCACAAGGGUAUAAACGAACACAUAAAGCAACAAAGACAUCCAGUAGAAUGAUACCCAGAAUAAAAAAAUAUGGUUCACAAUGAACGUACCUGGAGUGCUUCCUGGAGUCGGAUUUGCUCCCCUUCCCCUCAGCUUUCCUGCCCCAGCCCCAAAGAAAUACAUAUAUUUUUUCUCUGCUGGCAGCUUCUUCUCCAAGCUGUCUCUCGCUGCCACCAGCAGCUCGCCUCAUCCCAUCCCAUGGCCGCCCAAAGCAGCUCGUUUCCCGGUGGUCAGAGAAGUAAUCAUAUAAAAAUGGCCAAAAACUCCUCCUCCCCGGUAGGGGGUCUACAGUUUAAUUUUUAAGAAUAGAAAACUAUUUAAAAAAUGAUUUCUAAACAAGCUUUAGCUUUGAAGUUGGUAUCAUUCUAGAAACAUAAGGUUAUGUUUAAUUUUUGAAAAGCAAUAGAGAAAUAAAAAAAAUAUUAAAGAAAAUGAUUUUUUUAAUAUUUGAUUUCAUUACAAAAAAAAUGAAAGAAAAUCAAGUAUAAUUAAAAUUAAUUAAAAAAUUAUUUGUUUUUAAAUUAUUUUAAUCUAUAUAAUGAAGGGAAAUAAAUGAAAUAAAUUUGAAGAAGUAUAUAAAAAUAAUUUAAUAAAUUUAUUUAAAUCUGUUUUUUUUUUCUUCCUUUUUUUUCUUUCCUCUUACUUUUUUAGUUGCAUUUUUUUCUCAAAUUUUUCGGUAAUCAAAUAUAGUUUAAAGGUUAGUAUACAUUAUUAAACAAUUAAUGAAUAACUUAAACUUUUGGUUUAAAUAGAGUGGGUUUAGUUUAAGAAUAUUAACUAUUUGUAAACUUGUUAGUUUUAUUUUUUAUUUUUUAUUUUUUAAAAUUCUUUGCAGUUUCAAAUAUUUCCUAUUGAAGUAAUUUAAUGGGAGUUAAAUAUAUUAUAAAGGAAAACAUUUUCGAAGUUGAAGUCUCUACAUGCAGUGAUAUAAACUAACACUUCAAACACAUUCAUACAUGCUCUACCCUUAAUUAGUCGAAAAUUUAAAGAGACUGAUUAUGUUAUUGAAAUUUUCAAUUUUAAACUUUGAUAUAUAUAAUUAAAUUAACUAUUAUCUUAUUUUUAAUUUUUUUAAUGCUUAAAAAAAAUAUUGAGGAAAAAAAAGAAAAAAAAAUAGAUUUUACAUUAAUAAAUUAUUUUUAUUUGUUUUUUCAAAUUUAUUUAAUUUAUUUAUAUAUAUAAAGAUUAUAUAAUUUUAAAAACUAUAAUGGUAUAUUCAUUUUUAAUUAUAUUUUAUUUAAAAAAAAUCUAUGAUAAAUUAAAUAUAAGUGACUUAUUUUCUUUAAUAUUUUUUCUAUAUUUUUAUGCAACUUAAAUCAUGAUGAAAAAGAAAAAGAAAAAGAAAAAAGAAAUAUUGGUCAUAUUUUAUGCAUGAUAAAGAAAAAUUUCUUUGGGUGUGAUUUAAACUUUAAAAAAAAAACCAAUUUAUUUUCAUGUUGGGUUAUUUGGUUAGAAGGAUGAAAUAAUUCUCAAUUAAAAAUUUUUUUUUUAAUAAAAAUAAUUUUAUCUUUUAAAACUUAUUGGCAGAUUAUCUAAAUAUUGAUCUCAAAAAUGUAUUAUUUUUAAAAUUUUAAAAUUUAAAAUUAUUUCAUCCUUUUAAUCAAUUUAUUUUAAAAAAUUCUCUUUAAUUUGGUUCAAUCUUUUCAAUGGACCUCAACUUUCCAUAUUGGUAGAUACCUUGAGAAAGAUGUCUGCCAAUCAAGGUCAUGAAGCAAGGCAUCCAAAACUCCUUAGCAGAUAGAAUUAUUAUUUUGAAGUUUAAGAAUGAGAAAAUGACAUCAUUUGUAAUUAAUUUUUGGUUUUGUAAGAUUAAGAAUGAGAUUAGAAAAUAUACUUUUGGAUGGAAUAUUAUAAUCGUAUUAAUAUAUUUAGAUUAAAAUAAUUUAUUUAGAUUGAAUAUUUUAUACCUAAUCUCUAAAUGUAGCGAUGGAAUAUACUCAUAUUUGAUUCUAAUAAAGUGAUAGGAAGAAAGAAAACUCGGAAAAAAAUGAUCUUUUAAAAAAAUACAAAAUUAAAUUAAAUUAAUUAAAAUUUAAUAUACUUUUAAAUUAUUUAAUAUUCACAAGACUUUAUUUAAUUUAUGCUCCAAUAAUACACAAAAAUGCAAAUUAAUUAAAAAUCAAAUAACUUAUUUUUUAAAGAAAACGUAAAUUACAAAUUUCAUGAUGUUUCAUUUUACACAAAAAUGAAAGAUUAAAAAUGGUUUCUAAUUUGUCCUUACAAAAAAUGUGACAUUAGGUGGAUUCCUUGAGACAUGGUGGACUGAUUGGUACCUAAGUUAUGAUGAUGUCUUCUCAUACAUUUCUUUUAAACUCAUCAAAUCAUUAAAGGGAAUGUAUCUAAUAAAUUUAAAAAGAAAUUCCUCACUUUUUUUCUUAUUAACAUUUGUUUUAUCUUUCAUUCCUUAUGAAUUCUAAAUUAAUGUUUUCUUUGUUAUAAUUAUUAUGAAUGGACAUCCACAUUAAUUAGUCUUUGACAAUUUAUUUGUGAAAAUGUAUUUAUAGCAAAAAAAACAAAUCAUGCCUAAAAUCAGGUCAAAUUGUUUUAAUUAUUCAAAUUGACUUUUUAAUUAGUAAUAAGAUUAAGUAUACAAGUCUUAUUUGGCUGUUCUAGGAGUAACUAUUGAUGAAUAUUAUGGCAAAUUUUUUUACUAAAGAGAUUUAUUACCAUGAUAUUAAAGAAGGUGAAUAAAUUUUUUUCUUAAAGUCUCAAAGAAUGAAGCAACAAUAGAUCAUGAUCCCAAAAUCUCUAUCAAUUUCUUCCAUCUUUAUAUUUCCAAUUAAAAGCGUAGUAACUUGGUUAUAAUUAGAAUAUCUUUCUAGUUUGUGUUUAACUAACUAAAAAGGAAAAAAUAUUUUUUUGUUAUGCGGUUCAUUUUAUACUAGGAAUUACCUUUAAAGUGUUUUUAUAAAAAUUUAUGAUAAUUUUAGUAUUUUAAAAAAUUUUCAUUGAACAUAAGUCUAGUUUUUCGAUUGUGUUAUAGGAGUUUUAUCUAAUAAGAUCAUGUCUGAUAUGUUUUUUACCGUAAAGAAGUGGAAGUAGAAAUGAUUACUUUUGUUAUAUAAUUGAUUUUAUAUUUAAAACUAUAUUUUAAAAAUAUGUUUAGCAAAUAUAAAAAUAAUUUAUAUUUUUUAAAAAUUAAUUAAAUAAAGCUUUGAUUCUAACAUCAAAGCAUUUACAUUUUCAAAAAAUUGAUGAAAAAUUGAUGAUCAAGAAAUCUAAGAAGAAUUAUCUUUGGUAUUUAAAGGAUGAUUUUAAAGUUCAAAUGACUCCCAAGUGAAACUUGAAUGCAAUCAAAGCCUAUAACACCAUUGGAAAUAUUAUUAUUUCAUUAUUUUAUUUAUAAAAAUUUGCACUCUACUACAAAAUAAUAGAACUAUAUAGUAGUUUUAUUAUAUAUAUGUGACUUGAGUCAUAACUUGGGUUUUGGUAUGACUUAGGUGGAAAUUGUUUUUUUUGGUUUUUUAGUUAAAGUAAUUUGUUUUCAGAAUUUAUGCUGUUUAUUUUUCUAUUUUUUCAUAAUUUAUUAUAAAUUUUUUACUAAAUAAAAAAAGUCAAAAUAUAUUACUUUUUUUAAAUAGAAAAAAUAACAUAUUUGAAAAUGUGAAUCUCAAUAAUGAACUACACCUAGAGGGGGGUGAAUAGGUGUUGUAGAACAAUUUAAAAAUUCUCUCAACAAAGAUUACCUAACCUUAGACUAUCUUAAUGUCAAGAAUUUUUUUCUUCCAAUAACUUUUCAACAAAGCAAAACAUCCACAAGCAAUAAUGUAUACAUCAACACUCUCCCAACAAUUUAUCAAUGUAAAACACAUGCAAAUGCUUCAACACUCCUAAAAAAUAAAUCAAAAUAUAGAGUGAGAGAAAGAGACAAUGAACACCGGAUUUUUAACGUGGAAAACUUCCGAAGAGAUCAAAAACCACGGGCCUAUCACCGAUUGAAAACUCCACUAUGAAGAAUAAAAACUGAGUACAAGGUUUUACCUAACUCAAGCCAAUCAAUCCUUCCCGGAAUACUUGACUAGUACCUUCAUUUUCAGCUUCUCCUGUUGGAGCACACUUGGAGUCCGCACCAAGCUCAAUCUCGGCCUCUUCUUGAAUCCACACAAGAAGAAAAUGGGUUUUUACAUAAACCCAAAUAGAAUGAGAGAUUGAGAUGUGAAUGAAGGAAUGAAUCAACCCAUUUAUUGCUCAAGAAAAUCCAUUGAAAACUAGUUUGGAAAAUAUUAAGAGAAGUGGAUUUUCUUUGCAAUCAAAAACCCUAAAUUAGGAAAGCAAAAAUGAGAAAAUGAAGAACACUUGGAGUGUGGCUGCUCUCCCCACGUUUUCUGCAGUCUCUCUUACCAGAAAAUGAGAGAAGAUUGGUUUUUAAAGUGUAAAAAGAAACCCUUAAUCUAAUGGCUGAGAUUUGAUCAAAAAAACAUUAGUUGGAUAGAUCCACCCCUACACUUGGAUCGAUCCAGAAACAGAAGAAUGAAAGCUUUGCACCAAAAACCAUUUUUCUCAACUUUCUAACACAUUUAAAGAUUAAAAACCGGGUUGAUUCACACUCAAUCACUCCACACUUGACUACAUAUCUCGGCCUCUUAGCAAAGUCUUAGUUUUCAAAGUCAAGUAGUACAAAUAGGAAUAGGAAAGCCGAGUUAGGGGACACUUAGGAAUUUUGUCCGGAAUUGCCAACCUAGCUAAACACUCACAAUAUUGAUUUUUUUUUUUAAUACUUAAUAGAAAUAAAAUAUUAUAAAAACAAACAACCUAAUAUUUAAUACUAUUAAACAUUAAGUACCUAUUUAGAAUUAAGUAAAAAAACAAACACCACCUUAACCAUAGUAUCAUUUGGGCUUCCAUGACUACCCUGUAGCAACUGGACAAUAGAUGCUAUGGUCCAUGACUACUCUUUAACAAGAGACUUCCGAUAAAACAGGACCUAAAAAACCAUAACAAUCCAGCUCAUCAUGCAGCAACCUGACCAAAGAGCCGCUUGCGAAGCUGCAGUGGGAAGAAAACAAGAAAAUGGUUAAAGAAGAAUGGCCACACAUGGAUAAACUAAGGCUAUCAUUCACCAUCAAAUUUGAGAGACACAUGCCCAUAUAAGAUGAAUGCAGCAGAUAAUCUAAAGAUGAAAUAUCCAAUUGACUGAUAAUUGGGUAUAUAAACCAAUUAACUGGGAAAAAAAAAUGAACUUAAGAAGGAUGAAUACCCCUGGAAGUUUUUUUAUGAAAUACAACAUCCAAUCUUGCAUCAAGGGUGUUCUCCCAUAAAAUUUUUCUACCAGAGGGAUUUUCCAUCACUUUUCUUUCAACAAAAGCUGUUUCAUCCAUGUUUAUAUAUUUCCCACAACCAGUCCGAUAUAAAGAGUAAAAGAUGCAUGAGUUAUAUAUUAUUUUUUUGAAAAUGAAAGAUCAGCCAGCAGUCUCACAGAAAGAGUACAUUUGUACCUUUACAAACCUUUCCACUACAUAACAACUGUUAGUAAGCAAAACAGACCAUAUGCCCACAAAAAAUGGGAGGAUCAAAGUUUACGCUUCUGCCAGUGAUCCAUUUCCAAUACCUCAAGUUAGUGUUUAAGUCCAUGAUCUAGGUUUCUUUCUUUUUUCUUUUUUUAUUUAUUUUCCUUUUUUUUUAAGGUAAUAAAAAGAGAACACCCUGGUCUGCUCAACCUGUUUGGGCAAAGUAAAAUUUGGGCAAAUUAGCUGAGUUUAUAUUGACCUGAACCACAAGAUCUUUGAGAAGCCUUUUAUAGACAUGGUGAUCAUGUCCAGAGACGAUGUUUUAAAAUGCAAUUCAUUAUUGCAUAUUGAUACUAUCCAGUAGGUAGAAGUAGAACCGUAGAACAACUCAUAACUGCAAAAGCAUACCAUUAGCCUUCAAAGCCUGUUUAAGUUUCAGAGCCAAUCUCCUGAGGCGUUACUGCCAUUUGAAGAUCGAGACCAGUACUCCGUGACAAGCUGCCCAAACAGCGAUCCCUCCUUCUUUAUCAGUUUCAUUGGCACAUCGUACUCUACUAAUUUUCCUACGGAAGCAAAAGCACUAGUUAUUUGAAUUUGUUUUACCAUAUUGAUCCCAACUAGAAUGAAAUGUUCCUUCGUAGAAACUCACCGUCACUGAUAGCAAGCACCAUUGUGCAGUCCAUCACGGUUGGGAUUCUGUGGGCUACUGUAAUUACAGUGCAGUCUGCAAAUUCUGUUCUUAUGGUCUUCUGGAGAAUGGAGUCUGUUGCAUUGUCUAUAGAUGCAGUGGCUUCAUCAAGCACUAGUAUCCGACUUCUCUUCAGUAGGGCACGUCCCAAGCAGAAUAAUUGUCGCUGGCCCAUGCUCCAAUUUGAUCCGUCAUGUACAACUGUAGGGCAGACAGAUUGUUAGCAAGAGUUUUUGAAUCCAAAGAAUGGUACCAGUGUGUUUUAUGUUUCAUACCUAAGGAGUCCAGGCCCUCUUCUUUCUCUUGAACAGCCCCUCGAAGUUGACAUUUUCCCAGAACCUUUCACACAUUCAUGAGAAACAAUCUUAGUGUAGGAUAUAAAGUAAAUUUACCUUAUUAGGAAUCUGUACUUUUUGAAGGGACUACCACGACAAAUAUUUGGUAUGGAAAGAAAAUUAGGAGGUAUUUAAUAGCACUCUAAAACAUCAUUGUGUUCCAAAACACAGAAUAUCAGGAGCUCGAUCAAUGACAAUGGAAUUCAAAAUCUGACAGCGUUUAAUUAGUUUGUUAGUGUAGAAACUGCAAUGUCUAUGCACUUAAGAGUGAAGCCUGCUUCAUAUCACUGGCAGAAUCUUUUGGAGAUCUGUAACAUAUCAUGAUUGAAUCCUAAAAUUAGCAACCACAACAAAUUAAUAGGAAACUAACCUCCCAUAUUUCCUCAUCAGUAUGCAGCGAUAAAGGGUCAAGAUUGUAUCUUAUAGACCCGCUAAACAGAGUUGGUUCUUGUGGAAUGAUCCCAAGACGUGAUCUGAGAUCAUGAAGCCCAAUUGUGGAAAUAUUUAUGCCAUCUAUAAUUAUCUGUCCCUCUGUAGGCUCUACCAAGCGAAACAAAGCGCUGAUAAGAGUUGUCUUUCCACUACCAGUCCGGCCAACGAUCCCAAUUUUCUGUCCUCCUCCAAAUUUGCAACUGAUUCCUUGAAGAACUAGAGGAGCAUUGGGCCGAUACUUGACCUGCUCAAUGUCAUUUCAUCUACUAUAUUAAUCUCUAUAAAUCUUGAAGUUGUAGAACAGAAACAGAUACCCAAAUUCUUACUGAUUUCACCAUACCUUCAAAUCAUAAAUUUCCACUUCACCAAUAGUAGGCCAACUGGGUGGCGGUCGAUUACUCCCUAUGACUUCAGGGGCUUCGCUAGGAAUAUUCAUGUACUGUUCUAAUCUUUCAACAGAAACAAUCAUAUUUGCUAAAAGGCACUGGCUUUGGGCAGAAAAUACGAAGAAUACAUUCACUGAAAGGCCAUACGAUAAUGCCAUUCCAAUAAAUCCUGCCAUCAGAACAUUGACGACGAAAAUGCUCAUUAGACAAUAAUACCAUAAAUGGUUGUCAAUUACUAAGAUUUCUUUAAAUAUCACAUUGACCAAGCUGUUUUUGAAUAUCAAAUACUGUGCACGUAGGAAGUUAGUAGAAGGGUUUUUCUUUUGGAUUAUGCACUGAUCUGUUUGUAUGAUUAUUGUGUAAGAAUCAUGGACUUGUUAGCUCACUUUGUUCUUGAUAUAACCCAAGUUUCUAGUUAUGAUGUUGAGAAAGUUGGAGCUAAAAUGGGUUUAUUAUAGUGAUUUUUUAUUACUACCAACUGGGCAGCUGUUGUUUCAUGAUCUACAAAGCCCUAUCUUGUAUUCAUUUCACUCCACUCAUCAAGGUCAAGUAGGAAACUAAGAUAGGUAACUUUCCUAUUUAAUGUUGGAUAUUUUAUUGGAUUUUAGGUCAUUACUGAAGUGCCUCUAAAUAUUUCAUUCUCCUGAAGUUCCUUCUUUUCAGUGAGAAAUAUGAAAAUUUAGUGGAGACCCUGGGUUGUAGAUCUCUUUCUUUUACAGUUAAAAACAUAUGCUAUCUAGCAAGCAGUCAUAGCAGGCAACAGAAAAGCAGUUUUUGUCUUGAGGUUUUGAUCCUUUUGGAGAAUUUACCAUUUGUGGCCAUAAUCAGACACUUCAUAUUUAUCAUUUUCUGGUUGUAGAUCUUACCUACUGAAAAAUCCUAAUGGUAUCCUCUUGUAAGGAUCAAAAUUCACAUGAUCAAUUACUAUUCUCAAAGUUGCACAGGCCCCCUUAGGUUAAACAUGUUAUAAACUUCUAGGGAGUUAAAACUGUUGAAAUUAGACCAAAGAGAGUUUUAAGCAACUGCAAGGACAAUUGAAGGAUCUGGCAUGGACCUUCUAAUUUUGUGUCCAUUCUCAUUGGUCAUAUAGUUAGCCUCGUGAGUAAAUUCAAACUAUCUUGGAUUUUGCCUAGUUUGUUGUAUCAACUAAUGGAUAGUUGAGCAUGCAGGGUUAGGUACAGGAAGGACCUGUAAUUUCGGUAGUGUCUUUAGUUUGUAGUUUAGUACCCUUAUGGAAUCCUCUAGGAAAGAAAGAGAUAAGAGUAUUUUUGGUUUUUUUUUCUUUUGGAGACGGAAGGUUUUGUUAUUAGCAUCCACAAAUGGGGUAAAAUGGCAGAUCUCUAGCUGAUAUUGGGCAUGCUAGUUCAGGUCAUUAGGCCAGUGAUCCGGGUGGCUCCUAUGAGAUAAAUCUUCAAGUUGCUGCAAGUUAAAAAUGCAAUAGGGUGAUGGAAAGGCUGAAUGUAACAUGGGUGGAAUUCAUAAAAAAGAUAAAAAUCUCAAUAUUGAAUGGUGACUUGUCUUACUAUCAAGCCAAAUGGCUGGAAAGGAUCAUUGUAAUUAAACCAAGGUUGUGAUCAAAUGGUACUUGUAGAGGAACGAAUUUACGAUUUCAUCUUAGAGAAUUGAUAGUUAGGAGUGUUCAAGCAAACUAACAAAUUCAAAUGUAAUCGAGCUGUAUAAACUAGUGCCAAAAACACCUACCAGAUUUAGAAGAACUCGUAUGAAGCAAUGUUAGGGCAAGGGCUGAAGAUGAGAGAACGAUAGCACAUAGUAUUUCAAGGCGUUGGAUCAACCACUCAUUUGCUGUGAAACUGUAGAAGAAUGGACUUGCAUUUAUGUCAAUGAAGUCCAAAUUCUUUGAAAAGUGUCUAUCUUCCUCCCCGAAAGCUCUAAUUGUCAUAGCACCGGCAAUGGACUCAGCAAGAUGGCUUGCAACAAAGGACUUCGUCGUGCCAUUGAUUCGCAUCAAUUCUUUUCCAGCAGCAAAGUAGUACCUCUGGUUGUUAAAAUGAAAACAAACAUGAUCAAUUGCUGAGAAGCCAAGAGAAGUACAAAAUAUCUUACAGGGAACACACGCCUAAAUGAGGAGGGAAGCAGCUGCCUCUACUACAUCUAUGAAAACAUGAGACAGCAGUGUAUUACCUGGAUGAGUAUACUAAGAUAAAUUGUUGGUAAAAUGACAAACACAAGUUCCCAGGCAAGAAUAGCCAAUACUCCAAAACUGGCAUAAGUAGUCACAGCUGCCCCAAUAGCAAAAGUAAAUUUGAAGGCCAUAUCAAGGUCAACCACACUUAAAUCAGAAGAUACCUACAAAACGACAAUAAAAAAAUAAGUCUUCUGUUGUUUGUAAUAUGCAUAUAUUUUAAGCAUCUUACCCGACUGAGUAUCCUUCCCAGAGGUGUCGAGUCAUAAAAGGACAUUGGUGCUCGAAAAAGGGAGCUCAGCAGUGUAGAAAAAAUAGAUUGCGAUGCCCCAAGGCCUACAACAACAACAAAAAAUGAUCGGAGCAACAAAAAUAUUGAUAAGCUUAAUCCAAUCCCUGUGUAUACUGCAAUCAGUUUCAAUUGGCUAACACUAGGAUUCUGGACAUUUGCAGCCAACCAAUAGUUUUGCACCAACUGCGCAACAAUGAAUAUGAUAUGAGAUAGAUUUGCCAAAAAGAAGUAGAACAAUCCCUUGCUAUAUUUCAAGUAUUGUAGGUAAGGCUUCAGACCAGUGUCUCCCGUUUCUCUUUCUUCUUUCUUAAUUAACUGUUCUCCUAAUGAAUCUCUUAACUGUUUUUCGCUGUCAAUCUUUUGUAUCUCUCCCUUCGGAAUUUUAGACUUCUGGGUAGAAUCAUGCUCAGGUUGCCUCUCAGAACCAACUGUGGCAUUGUGUGCAAUGAUAAGGUCCUGGAACUCUUGACUAGAGUGCAUCAGCUGGUCAAAGGUAGCAGC